CUCUAAGCUUUGCUUUUUUUU
rnacentral:sRNA from 1 species